CACUUAUCAAGAAAGGUGGAGGGAAUGGCCUGUAGAAACCUUAGCAACCAGAUGACUCAUAAUCAAAGGUGCUAAAUCCAACCCUAUAAAGGGAUAGAUGAGAU
rnacentral:ncRNA from 1 species